GGGAAUGUAUGCCCUGUACCAUGAGUUCUUCAAGGUGAUCAUGAUCGUGGUCUUUGGUUUUGCGGUCGCCGCACUGAUAAGCCUGGCGGCUUCCCUCAUGCUGCUUCGUCUACACAGAGAUCAAGAUCAACCUUCUCCACAUCUGACUGGAGCUCUGUUACCUGAGCUAGUCACAGGAUCAUACCUAGGUGCUUCAACUCCAGUAUGGAGUGCUCAAUAAUGCGGAUGGUACAGCACAACUGAAGUA